CUGGGCCAGGAAGGGGAUUUAACCCUAACGCAGUUCCGGUUUUUGUGUCCUUCCCAUAUUGGCUGAGGUCCCACCGCACAAUCUAAGCUGAUCCUGGUUGGGCUAGACACAAACUUUUUCCAUAUAGGGUAAACGCGCGAUGUUUUGAGAAAAGGAGAAUGGGGAAAAAGAAGGGGUAGGGUUGAUUUACAAUUUUUACAACUUAUGACCAGGAAGUUGAGUCUCUGAAGAGGAACUUAGCUGCCCUAACAACUCCUCAAGUGAUCCGCCCGCCUCGGCCUCCCAAACUGCUGCGAUUACAGGAGUGAGCCACCUUGCCCAGCCCCAUAAAUUUUUAAUAGGAGAAAAGAGAAACUGUGAACCCAACCCACUAAAGCUCUUCCCAUUCGUGAACCCGCACUCCGAGUCAGGAUUCUCCCCUGACGACUCUCCCGUGGUCUCUGCACAAUCUGGGAGAGAAGCGGCUCUGCGGGUGCGCAGCUGCCCAGCGAGGGCUCCAAGCCAGGGCACAGUCACCGCACAGUGAAGAGACAGGACGCCUGGGGGCUGCGCUAUAAGCGCAGCCGCCAUCUUAUGGCUGAAGGGAACCGAGGCCGAGCUGGGCAAGAACUCCGGCGCAGAUUGUGGAGCUGACUAAGGGGAUACCUGAGUCCCGCCACCGUCACUUUCCACCGGUUCCAACCAGCCCCUCCCCGUCGCUUGGGAUGUCGGACCGGCACUCUCACCAUUUCUAGGCUUCCAGGGGUCCUGGUGUCUUAGCUGUGGAUCUCCCAAUACCUGCAGGUCACAGGGCCACAGAGGCUGGGCCUGUAGGAGCACAGGACACAGAGUAGUGAAGAGGAGACCUGGAGCUCCGGCUGCACCGAGAGACAAAGGACCCGCCAAACCAGAAGCCGCCCUGUUCGGUCCGGCUGCUUGCCUGAUUGGACGUUUCCAGCCCAGCGUCCCUGAUUGGAUAAUUCUUAAGGUCCCGCCCCCUCAGGACCUGAGUGACAGAAGAUGUGAUCACAUGCUGGGCUGAGUGAAGAAGAGUAACAGCCUAAGCUGCAGCCUUUUCAGCCAGGGCUUCCUCUCUGAGCUGAGCCACGUCCACCCCAGAGCAUGGGAACAUUCUCUUUUUUACUCUCUCUUUUUGAAUGUAUUGAAAAGUCGAUGAAAUGCCAGAGUGAAAGGGAUAGCCAACUGGACAACAGUGCAAGUGCCGUUCCAGUUACUUGGCAGAGUGUCCAGUAAGGGUCCACCACAAUACCACCAUAUAUUUGCUCAAAGAUGAACAAGGGAAGACUGACUGGUAAGAUCUUGGAAAGGCUUAAGCUCACUGUAUCCCAUUAAGUCUCCAAGAAAUGCCAAGUUUUCCCCUUGUCGUGAGAGACACGAGGUAAAAUUGACGCUAGGAGAUGGAGGCUGGAUGGCUCUUGGGGCCUGACCCACAGGGUGUUGGACUUUAAGAAAUAGCAGAGAGAGAGCUCAGCAGGAUUUAUUACCCUAGGCUGUGGGGUCUUGGAAAAGAGCUACUAUACAGUUUAUGCCUGGUCAACUAGAAGACCAUCUGAGUGGGAAAGGGACAAUUUGGGCCUCUGGCUGGCCGCGUGCACAAGCAUAACAAUUGCUUUUGCUUAAUGUGUGCACAGAAUAUUUGAUCCAUUUUAACCAGGCAUUUGUAUCUUGGUAUCUUGUUUUAAUUGUUAAAGUUUGCCUUAAAUUAGUUACUUUUACAAUAUCUAUUUUAGUCUUAUCACUGGGCAUAGAAGAUAUGACAGUCUGGUUAGAAAAGAGCUUAGAAGAGAGGGGAGUGAAGAGCAUGAGGGAUGAUUAGACGCAUUUUGAAAGACCCUAUGAGAUUUGUGCCAGCCAAGUUGGGUCUUAUGCCAUAGAAGCAGCUCAAAUCAAAGUGGGGUUAGGAUCCAUAGAAGUGGGGGUGAGAAUAGAAAUUUGCACCAGAUUACAUUGGUUAAACUGGCAAUUGGAAGGAGUGUUUCCUUUAGCAAAGCAAAUAUAUGGCUUUAAGGACAUACAACCACUUGUUGAUGAGGUCCAGCCCUGAUAUUCGAUUGUUUAUAAAACAUCAUUCCAGCUGUGGCAGGCCUGUUUUUUUUACAUUUGUUAAAGAACAGGAGUCGUGUUAGGGGGAGCCUCUUGUCCAAAAGUGACAGAGAUAUUUCUCUGAGGCUGAGAGCUGUUUUUGACUCUGGAGAUUUUCACAGGGCAUAAUGAGGCAAGCACUAAAGGAAAUAGUUUGGGGUGAGCCCAACCUAGUUACAUUAAUAACGAGAGGAUUAGCAAUAGAAGGGGAAAAGGAGAAGGAGUAACAGAACAGAUGGAAGAUAGGUAAAUUUUCUUAGCUUUAGUUUGGAAGGGUUCUCCCCUGGAACUAUGGCCCAUGAUUCUGGAGAGGGUGUAGCAGGACGAGCCACAGACAAAACUCCUCAGACACCGAGUUAAAGAAGGAAGGGGUUUAUUCAGCCAGGGGCAUUGGCAAGACUCCUGUCUCAAGAGCUGAGCUCCCCAAGUGAGCAAUUCCUGUCCCUUUUAAAGGUUCACAACUCUAAGGGGAUGUGUGUGAGAGGGUCAUGAUUGAUUGAGCAAGCAGGGGGUACAUGACUGGGGGCUGCAUGCACCGGUAGUUAGAUUAGAACAAAACAGGAUAGGGAUUUUCACAGUGCAUUUCUAUACAAUGUCUGUAAUCUGUAGAUAACAUAACCGAUUAGGUCAGGGGUUGAUCUUUAACUACCAGGCCCAGGGUGUGGCGCUGGGCUGUCUGCUUGUGGAUUUCAUUUCUGCCUUUUAGUUUUUACUUUUUCUUUCUUUGGAAGCAGAAAUUGGGCAUAAGACAAUAUGAGGGGUGGUCUCCUCCCUUAUUCCCCCACUUUGAGACUCUCAAUAGUGGGAGUUCUCACUUUUAUUUUUACUACCUAUGUUUUCUUGCAAGACAGAUCGAUAGUGAUUCAUAUAUUACACUUGUGCUGAAGCAUUUUGGUGAACCAAGGUAACAAUGAAGCUUUUUAUCAUCUGAAGAAGUACAGGUAGCAAACAAGGGAGCAGUAAGCAGAUUCCUAUUACUAUUAUAACUUUUAUUAUAAGAGUUUUAAAUCCUCUUAGCGCUGGGAACCAUUUUCUAAACAUGGCCCCAGGAUCAAAUCCAUGCCACACUUGCAUGGGCACGUGUGCCAGUUUUGUCAUAUCUCUAACUAUGUCUUCAACAACUGGCCCUUGAUUAUCUAUGUGUAGGCAGCAAUUAGUAAGGUUAAAUUUCCUGCAGACCCCUCAUUCAGCUGCUGGCAAGUAGUCGAGGGCUAAUCUAUUUUGAUAUAUAGCAUUUCUCAUCUGAGUUUCUUGCCAGGCCAGAAUAGUCAAGGCUCUGCUGGUUUUAUUAGUGAUUAUUUUUAAGACAGCUUGUAACCAUAUGAUUCGGUUGAUCAUGUAAAUGGGGGUCCGGUAUCCCCAUGAGCCAUCUUGUGCCUAAGUAGCAGGCCUAUAAUAUUGUAUGAUUCUCUCAGGGGGCCAUUUAUCAUUUUUUCAAUUUCUUAUAGCUAUGAUUCUCUUUUCGCGGGAAGCGUAGACAGGGAAGCCAAGGAGUUUGCCUGUUUUUAUGGGCAGUAGGAAGAAAGAUGGUUUAAUAGUGCCAAUAACACAACUACCUGCCUACUGGUCAGUAAUCUGUCAUAAGCUCUAUGCCUACAUAUCCAGUAUAAUCCAGUGGGGGCUGUCCAGUCCCGGUGGGACUCCAGGUGGGUCCAGUUUGCAACUUUGAGAAUUUACUAAAUUUUCUCUCUGUGUGAUUUGAACUCCACCAAGUGAUUGUUUUUGUGGUACCAUUAUACAGUUUCUGUCUCCGACAACUAAGUCAUCCUACGCGGUGAGUGAAUUCUUUUCCUUCUCUAGCUAUGCAAUAUUGUUUAAUAAUUGAGGCUUUUAGGAUCAGAAAUUAUCAGGGUGAUUCUUUUGAGCCAGGAAUUCAUCAGGUACUGUAGGUACUAAUUCUCAGGCUUCCCAUGGCCAUUGAUCUCUUAUUACAGCUUCUCCACAUACAUAACAUGAAGUGACAUUGAGAGACUGGGCUACAUGCUUGGCUAAUUGCAAAAACAAAUUUCUUGUUUUUCCUGGAAUUUCUGGUACUGGCACAUUUAGUUCAUCAUAGAAAGUUUGAAACACUGGCUCAGGAGAGUCUUUGUAAGCUUCUCGAACCAAGAUAUUUACUCAAGGAUCCAGUCUGGCCCCGUCGAUUCCUAAGGUCACAUGCUCCUCUUUUUUUCUAGCGAGGAUCAAGGGGAUUGGUUAUGACUAGCUCUAAGGGGUUACAUUGUCCCUGAGUACAGGAAGGGCCAUUUUUUCCUUUCUGAAGGUGGGAUGGAUCUUUUUCAUUUUUUUUUUUAAUCCAAGUGGCCUAAAUGACACAAGACCAGUGUUCACAUUUAUUUCCACACAGUGCUAAUUUAUGACAGUUGUAUUUAUUUUCUGCCAUAUAGCCUCUUUUCUAAUUAAGAGAACCACACCUUAUUCCUAACUUAUUACUAUUAAUGACAGCACAGGCAUCAAAUUUUAAGGUGACUUGUUUGGGCACCCCUUUUUCUUCUGUUUUAGCUAACACUUUACUCAUAUCAUUUAUGAGCCCCAACCAGUCCUCAGUCCUUAAUCUUAUUUAAAAAACUGUCCCUCCAGGGUUCAAGCAAUUCUCCUGCCUCAGCCUCCAGGCAUGCACGACCACGUCCAGCUAAUUUUUGUAUUUUUAGUAGAGACGGGGUUUCACCAUAUUGGCCAGGCUGAUCUUGAACUCCUGACCUCAGGCAAUCCACCUGCUUCAUUAAAUUAUGCACUAAAAGUGUAUAAUUACACUGUUUGUAAUACAAAUGAUAAACGCUAGAGGUGACGGAUAUCUUAUUUACCCUAAUGAAAUUUCUACAUAUUGUAUGCCUGAAUCAAAAUAUACCAUAUAAGGCAUAAAUAUAUACACAUACAAUAUACCCACAAAUACUAAUAAUAAAUUUCAGUAAGAAAAAAAUAGGCAGGGUGCGGUGGCUUAUGCCUGUAAUCCCAGCACUUUGGGAGGCCGAGGUGGGCGAAUCACUUCAGGUCAGGAGUAUGGGACCAGCCUGGCCAACAUGGUGAAACCCCGUCUCUACUAAAAAUACAAAAAUUAACCAGGCAUGGUGGCGCACACCUGUAAUCUGAGAACUCCCACGUUCAAGCAAUUCUCUUGCCUCAGCCUCCUGAAUAGCUGGGAUUACAGGCAUGUGCCAUCAUGCCCAGCUAAUUUUUGUAUUUUUAGUAGAGGUGGGGUUUCUCAGUGUUGGUCAGGCUGGUCUCGAUCUCCUGACCUCAAGUGAUCCAUCUGCCUCAGCCUCCCAAAGUGCUAGGAUUACAGGCAUGAGCCACUGCACCCAUCCCAUACAACUUUAUAUUUAAAGAACCAUAAAUAUUAUAUUAAAACCUGUCUAAACCAAUAAAUAUACCUGGCUGUAUUUUAAUAUUUUUAACUAUAAUUAAUAAUUUCUUUCUGUCACUAUAAUGUAGAAAAGCAUUACUCUGAAACCCCACCUUAUUUUUUAUCUUUGCUUAUUAAUAAAAUAAUUCAUUAUGAUUUUUGAAAAAAAGUUUUAAGAUGUUCCGC
rnacentral:lncRNA from 10 species